GACGAAACGCUGGCGGCGUGCUUAAACACAUGCAAGUCGAACGAGAAACUUAUAAAUGAUCCUUCGGGUGAAUCUAUAAAGCGGACAGUGGCGAAACGGGUGAGUAAACGCGUAGGUAAACCAAACCUCAUGCAGGGGGAUAGCCCAGGGAAAACUUGGAUUAAACCCGCAUAAAGACCAACAGCAACCGCAUGGUGCAGGGGUAAAAAACUCCGGUGGCAUGAGACGGACCUGCGUCUUAAUUAGGUAGUUGGUGAGGUAACGGCUCACCAAGCCAACGAUGAGUAGCCGACCUGAGAGGUGAUCGGCCACAUUGGGACUGAGACACGGCCCAGACUCCUACGGGAGGCAGC
rnacentral:rRNA from 1 species